rfam:Cobetia sp. TCD-24C scaffold_29, whole genome shotgun sequence.
UGGAGUCUGCAACUCGACUCCAUGAAGUCGGAAUCGCUAGUAAUCGUGGAUCAGAAUGCCACGGUGAAUACGUUCCCGGGCCUUGUACACACCGCCCGUCACACCAUGGGAGUGGACUGCACCAGAAGUGGUUAGCCUAACCUUCGGGAGGGCGAUCACCACGGUGUGGUUCAUGACUGGGGUGAAGUCGUAACAAGGUAGCCCUAGGGGAACCUGGGGCUGGAUCACCUCCUUA